rnacentral:rRNA from 1 species
UACGGAGGGUGCAAGCGUUAUCCGGAUUCACUGGGUUUAAAGGGUGCGUAGGUGGAUCGGUAAGUCCGUGGUGAAAUCCCCGAGCUUAACUUGGGAAUUGCGCUCGAAACUACGUGGCUGGAGUGUGGCAGAGGAAGGUGGAAUUCCACGUGUAGCGGUGAAAUGCGUAGAGAUGUGGAGGAACACCAAUGGCGAAGGCAGCCUUCUGGGCCAACACUGACGCUCAUGCACGAAAGCGUGGGGAGCAAACAGG